UACGUAGGGUGCAAGCGUUAAUCGGAAUUACUGGGCGUAAAGCGUGCGCAGGCGGUUUUGUAAGUCUGACGUGAAAUCCCCGGGCUCAACCUGGGAAUUGCGUUGGAGACUGCAAGGCUGGAGUCUGGCAGAGGGGGGUAGAAUUCCACGUGUAGCAGUGAAAUGCGUAGAGAUGUGGAGGAACACCGAUGGCGAAGGCAGCCCCCUGGGUCAAGACUGGCGCUCAUGCACGAAAGCGUGGGGAGCAAACAGG
rnacentral:rRNA from 1 species